UACGGAGGUCUCAAGCGUUGUUCGGAUUCAUUGGGCGUAAAGGGUGCGUAGGUGGCGCUGUAAGUCGGGUGUGAAAUUUCGGAGCUUAACUCCGAAACUGCAUUCGAUACUGCGGUGCUUGAGGACUGGAGAGGAGACUGGAAUUCAUGGUGUAGCAGUGAAAUGCGUAGAGAUCAUGAGGAAGACCAGUGGCGAAGGCGGGUCUCUGGACAGUUCCUGACACUGAGGCACGAAGGCCAGGGGAGCAAACAGG
rnacentral:rRNA from 1 species